rnacentral:lncRNA from 1 species
AAGACUCUUAAAGGGACAGUGUACAUUAACUACACACUGACAGCAUACAGGUUGACAGAUAUUCAUACAAUCUCAAUAAUAGUCUUUAUCUCCACAUGGCUACAUAUAUCACAAAACAAUAACAAAUCACAGGUAGCCUAUUUAUACAACAGAUAUGGAUGCUGAGUCCAUGCUGCAUGCUGUCAAUCAUCUCUGGCUGAUCAGGACACGCCUCCACUCUCCAUUCAUCUCACUGUUGUGCUCCCCUCAGGAAGAGGCUGUUUGCUGUGUGCUGCUGGAAGCUGAGAACAUGCUCAUGUUCCUCCCCAGACAUUCUGCAGGAGAGAUGCUGAUGUGUGUGUGCUGGAUCCCACCCUGUCUUCAUGAGCUUCUGGACCACAGACCCCAUCCAGCUCAGGGUCUUGGCUCUACACACUGCUGCUCACUAAAACAAUCUGCAGGAUACAGGAGAGAAUACAAUAAUCAAUCAGUCUGUUCUGGACCACAUCCAGCUCAUGUCUGUCGUGUAAAGUAGCCUUCCCAUCUGUAUGCCAAGGAAAAAGACACAACAAUCCACCAGUCUCCAUGACGACCCAGUGACCCAGACUGCAUGAGAGACAGAGGGCUGCUGUAUUCUGACAUCAGUAACAGCAGCCAUGAUAAACACAUUCACACAUUAGACACACUGCAAAGAAACAGUAAGGGUGGAGCUAAAAAGGUCAAAACCACUGGUCCAAUCAGAAGAAGAGAGUGGCAUCUGGCUCGACCAAUCGAGAUGGCUGCACAUUGAGGGAAAAAUAGGCAUGAAUAGAAAAAGAGGUUUGGGGGAAAGGAAUGAGAGUGAGAGUGAGAGAUGUGGGCCACAGGUCAAGGUCAAAGGUCACAAACAAACAAACACGAUGAGUAAAAGAUGACAAAUAACCAAAGGAUGAGAUGUAAGACAGAAGAAGAAAGGGGAAAGAACGAGGGAGAGAGAAGGAUGAAAGACGGAUGAGCAAAAAGCAGAGGACCACAGAUGAAACAGACAGAAGAGAGAGAAUCUGGAGAACAGAAAAUAAAAGACAG